GACGAACGCUGGCGGCGUGCUUAACACAUGCAAGUCGAGCGGUAAGGCCCUUUCGGGGGGUACACGAGCGGCGAACGGGUGAGUAACACGUGGGUGACCUGCCCUCAGCUCUGGGAUAAGCCUGGGAAACCGGGUCUAAUACCGGAUAUGACUCCAUGACGCAUGUUGUGGGGUGGAAAGCCUUGUGCGGCUGAGGAUGGGCCCCGCGGCCUAUCAGCUUGUUGGUGGGGUGAUGGCCUACCAAGGCGACGACGGGUAGCCGGCCUGAGAGGGCGACCGGCCACACUGGGACUGAGACACGGCCCAGACUCCUACGGGAGGCAGCAGUGGGGAA
rnacentral:rRNA from 1 species